rnacentral:lncRNA from 1 species
AAGCCAUUAGUCCUCAUCCCCCUCCCCACAGUAAAUGAUUCCUGAAAGGGUAAAAAGUUAACUUCAGGCUGCCACAUCCCUGAGAAGGAUAAAAUCCUUUAUGUAACCUCUUCAAUUUGCCUUACAGUAACAAAACUGCAAUGCGCAUCACAGAAGCCUUUAAAGAGCAGGAAUCCACAGAAGGUCAAGACCUAAAUGACUUAUUUCUCUUCAGCCUGCAGCUUCCUGAUUUGUUCCUUGGUUGUCUGAGUUUCACUUAACAUGUAACCUAAAGCAAGAUGCCUCAGGUAUUGGUAAGAGGAUUUUUCAAAGAAGGAGAAAAGGAUUCAGAAGACUGCAAGAAUGAAGUUGAGGAGAACAUAUCUUUAUGCAUUACACUGUAACUGUUUCAUAAUCACACACCUGGACAAGAAGAUUCUACAUUUCAAAUUGCUGCACUGCAGUAAAUCAGAAGUUUAAUAAUCUUGAAAAUUCUCGCAAACUGAUGCUGUGGGUAAAUUAUGAUUAUUUAACUUUAACUUUUGCUGGAAAAUUCAUUUAAAUUAAAGUUGAGCCAAAACUAUUUAGAUAAAAAAGCUCACAGAUUUUUAAACUUGAAACUGCUUCUUUCAAAGAGAAUUUAAAAAACUUUGUUGUAGAGGCACUUGACAAAACAUUUGUACAACAUGAUUCCUUAGAAAAUUAUUUAUCUCACAAAGGUUGAAAUGGAAUGUAAAAAAAAAAUAUAUAUAUAAAUAAAUAAAUCAGGAAAAGUUACA